rnacentral:rRNA from 1 species
GAUGAACGCUGGCGGCGUGCUUAAUACAUGCAAGUCGAACGAAGCACUUCUCCCGUUGAUUGAAUUAGCUUGCUAAUGAUUGAAACAAUUGAAGUGACUGAGUGGCGGACGGGUGAGUAACGCGUGGGUAACCUGCCUUGUACAGGGGGAUAACAGUUGGAAACGACUGCUAAUACCGCAUAAGCGCACAGUACCGCAUGGUACGGUGUGAAAAACUCCGGUGGUACAAGAUGGACCCGCGUCUGAUUAGCUAGUUGGUGAGGUAACGGCCCACCAAGGCAACGAUCAGUAGCCGACUUGAGAGAGUGAUCGGCCACAUUGGGACUGAGACACGGCCCAAACUCCUACGGGAGGCAGCAGUAGGGAAUAUUGCACAAUGGGGGAAACCCUGAUGCAGCGACGCCGCGUGAAGGAUGAAGUAUUUCGGUAUGUAAACUUCUAUCAGCAAGGAAGAAAAUGACGGUACU